UGAGGAAUAUUGGUCAAUGGACGCAAGUCUGAACCAGCGACGCCGCGUGCGGGAUGAAGGGGCUUAGCCUCGUAAACCGCUGUCAAGAGGGACGAGAGGGCGAUUUUGUCGUCCGGGACGGUACCUCUGAAGGAAGGAUCGGCUAACUACGUGCCAGCAGCCGCGGUAAUACGUAGGAUCCGAGCGUUGUCCGGAAUUACUGGGCGUAAAGGGUGCGUAGGCGGCAAUGUGCGUCAGAGGUGAAAUCCACGGGCUUAACUUGUGGGGUGCCUUUGAUACGGCAUAGCUUGAGUACGAGAGAGGUCGAUGGAAUUCCUGGUGUAGCAGUGAAAUGCGUAGAUAUCAGGAGGAACACCGGUGGCGAAGGCGGUCGGCUGGCUCGUAACUGACGCUGAGGCACGA
rnacentral:rRNA from 1 species